rnacentral:rRNA from 1 species
AUGAAUGCUGGCGGCGUGCCUAAUACAUGCAAGUCGAGCGGUAACAGGGGGUCCACCGUGCUCUUGACACUCAGGGCUAUUAUGCGUGAGGUUGAAUUCGAGAGUACAGUGGAACCCUGCUGACGAGCGGCGGACGGCUGAGUAACGCGUGGGAACGGACCCCAAACUGAGGGAUAACUAGUCGAAAGAUUAGCUAAUACCGCAUGUGAUCUUCGGAUUAAAGGAUUUAUCCGGUUUGGGACUGGCCUGCGUACGAUUAGAUAGUUGGCGGGGUAAUAGCCCACCAAGUCGACGAUCGUUAGAUGGUUUGGGAAGAUGAUCAUCCAGACUGGGACUGAGACACGGCCCAGACUCCUACGGGAGGCAGCAGUAGGGAAUCUUUCACAAUGGGCGAAAGCCUGAUGGAAGCAACGCCGCGUGCAGGAUGACGGCCUUCGGGUUGUAAACUGCUUUUAUAAGCGAGAAAUAUGAUGGUAACUUAUGAAUAAGGACCGGCUAACUACGUGCCAGCAGCUGC